rnacentral:rRNA from 1 species
CCCUUAGAUGUUCUGGGCUGCACGCGCGCUACACUGAAGCGUUCAACGAGUAUUCACCUUGCCCGGGAGGGUUGGGUAAUCUUUUGAAAACGCUUCGUGAUGGGGAUAGAUUAUUGCAAUUAUUAAUCUUCAACGAGGAAUUCCUAGUAAGCGCGAGUCAUCAGCUCGUGCUGAUUACGUCCCUGCCCUUUGUACACACCGCCCGUCGCUCCUACCGAUUGAAUGGUCCGGUGAAGCGUUCGGACCGUGGCCUUUGGACGGUUCGCCGUCUGUUGGCUGCGGGAAGUUCGUUAAACCUUAUCAUUUAGAGGAAGGAGAANUCGUANCA